rnacentral:lncRNA from 1 species
ACAACACACAGAUGCAAGGUCUCCUGAUGGCAGAAAACCUUAUAACCAGAUGCUUCAGGUGACUACAGCCAGCUCCAGAGGUUCCAAAGAUCUUAAAGAUGUCCCAGAAAAGUUCUAGAGUACUAUCAGAUCUCACACUUUGCCUUGGAAGCUGUCAUUCCCCUCCAUUGGCCCCACAACUGCAGUAUAAUCUUCAGUGACAGGAGAAAAUCGACCUUGUUUGUACAGAAGUCUCAGCAGGAAUAGGCAGAUGCCUGUUUUUGCUGCCAAGGAUGGAGGAUUGGAAUGGGC